ensembl:lncRNA
CCUUGUUGCAGCUCUGCUACAUGGAAUUAAGGAAAAAGUCCUGAAUCCACUUGAGUCUGCUUUGUGAAAGAGCCAAGUGGACCUGGAGGCAAGGGUGGCAGCCACAGUGAUUUCUGACAGGACUCCAGGGCGACGGUGAAUCUUGAGGGGACAGAAAUCUGGUUGUCCAUCUAGUCUCCCCUUCUCAAGUAGCGAAUCUACCUCCAUUCCAAUCUUGGAAGGUUUUAUUAAGAGAGACUGUGGGGUUUCUACAUUUCCCACAUAGGCUGCUGGCGCAGGUGAAUCCUGGCUGGCCCAGUUGUGAAAUAAGCCCCUUAUUCCUUAAUUUCCAGGGAGUUGGCGUUAUGCUGCAGAAAGAGCACGAUCUUUGAAGCUGGCAAACUUUAGUUCACAGCCAUGCUGGGAGAGGUUUGCGAACUUGAGCAAGUUGCUUCAACUCCCUGAGCCUCCAAAUCCUCAGCUACAAAAUGAGGGCAAGAAUGACAAUCUUAGAGAGUUACUGUGAGGAUCAAAUAUGAUAACUUCCGUAAAAGCACCUAAUACACUGCCUGGAACACAAUUGACUUGAAAGAAACAUCAGUUCUCCUACUUCCCUGGCCCCACCCUCACGCCUCUGAGUCUGGGACCCACUUCCCCACAGGCCCAGCGCCUGUGGCAACUCCCAGCCUCCCAGGCCCCUCAGAGGCACGUCUCCCUGCACCAGACCUUAAGUGACCCUCCAUAACCUUCAGGAAAAUUGACCUCUCCCAGAACUUGUCUCUGCUUUUAGGUAACAAUUAACUCAUAAUGAUUAACUCAGUAUUAUACUUCCUUAACCCAAAGGAAUCACUCUAUUGACAAUUUUGUCAGGUACCAUGGUGGGUCUAUGGGGGAGAUGCAGCAUUUGGGGACAGUUGGAAUCUUGCUGUAAUUAACGGUAACCUCCAGAUGAUACCACUUGCCUUCAGAGCAAGGCUUGGAGUUCAGUUUUUUUUUUUUUUUUCCCGAGGAAGAUUAGCCCUGAGCUAACUACUGCCAAUCCUCCUCUUUUUGCUAAGGAAGACUGGCCCUGAGCUAACAUCCAUGCCCAUCUUCCUCUACUUUAUACGUGGGAUGCCUGCCACAGCAUGGCUUUUGCUAAGAGGUGCCAUGUCUGCACCGGGGAUCCGAACCGGCUAACCCCGGGCCACCGAGAAGCAGAACAUGAGGACUCAACCACUGCGUCACCAGACCGCCCGGCGUUCAGUUUUGAAGUGAAUGGAUUUUUCUCUGAAAUCCCCCAAGGAACAAUCAUGGUCCUUAUGCCCUUAAGGAGGCUGUCGGCUGCUGAGGGCUGUCAAUCUGACAUACUUCUCUAGUUCUACAGGGAGACGAAAAUACCAUUUAAGUCUUAUUCCAACAUUUCUCAAAUCAUGUGGGUAUUACCAAGCAUGAAAUCAUCAUCUGAAAACUCAAUUUUAUAAAGAGUCGUUUCUUCAGGAAAAAUACGAAAGAACAUUCCUCCUGUUUACUCUGAGAUUUGCUUUUUUUCAAUAGUGUGGUUAUUGUGUCUUUCUUAAUCUUUGGGGAUUAGGCUUCCAUUUUUCACCUAGACUGCAAUUUGCUCAUAAAUCUCUUCAUCUUUGCUUAAUUCAAAUGUUUUGGCCAACUUCAUGGUUUAAUAAUGAGAAAUAAAAUUGGAGUCCUAAUGAUUACUAAGGAGGGAAUUUUCAUUUCGUCUGGAAUUUAAAGAGCUGUGAAAGGGGCGGGCAGCCAUCAGGCAAGCUGCCACAACCUUGGCUGGAGCAUGCUCAAUGCUGUGGGGUGUUAGACAGUUCCUUUUACCCAGGGUAAUUCUCCAAUGAUUACUUGAAAAUCCUUCAAAUCCAGCCCUACUUACAUCCACCGAUUGCUAUGCCCCUAUUGAUUAGUUACAAACUAUUAAUUGAAUUCAGGCCGUCUGAGAAGACCCCAGGUCCCUGGAGCUUCCAUCGCAUACUGCCCAUCAGAGCCAAGGCCAGUUACCCAGUUCCAAGAUGCUUCGACGCAAGUCAUGUAAUGGGGGGACUGGGACCACGAUUCUCAGAUAACUAGGCAGGACAGAGUUCUGUUUCAGCACUUCCACAUGAGCAGACAAAUUUGAAAGACAGAAGUAACUAGAAAAUGAUUUAAAACCCCUUUCUCAUAAGUUUACCAUUGGAGAAAGGUAUCCACAGCAUGGCUGUGUAGCCUAGAAUUCCCAGGGCAGAAAGGAAACAGGAGCUGGGUAAUUCCCUUUGUGCAGAGAGGAGCUUUGGUUUCUCUUGCUUGUGUAGAAUAGAGCGGUCCUCUGAGGCAGUCAACGGAGAGGCCGCCUGGCACUGCGGGCAACUGGCUGGAGACAGAACAACCCACUUCUACUGGGGGCUUAUUGGAUGGUUAGAAAAAAUAAUCUCCGAUUCUUCCACCCUAGUCAAGGCCCUUCAGGUAUGUCCCAGGCCAUCUUUCCUCUCCACAUAUCACUUCUAAGAAGUAUCCUACAAUUACUCAUUUAGCAUUAAUUGUAUAUUGACUUAGGUUAGAAUGCUCUGUGCAAUUAGACUUGACUUUUAACACAGACUGUAAAUGCCUCAAGGGCAAGAACUUUAUUUUAUAUUUUUUGCUCAUUCAUAUAUUGAUCGAUAAAUGAAUCAUCAAUUAAUCCACUCAUUAAUCCAAUACCCACUCUGCUGAGACCACUGUGCAAGGCUUAUUUCUAGAUACUCCAGGGCCUCCAGACGAGUGUGGAACAUAAUUUCUGCCUUCCAGUAGCGCACAAUCUUGUUGGAAAAGCUCAGUGUGUAAGGAGAGAAAAUUAAGAUAACGCCGUAGCAGACAGUAACAGCACAACGAUUCAAACCACAUAAAAAUGACUAGAAG